UAAAAGUGUCCAGGGAUGGGAAUCGAACCCACAAUGUUCCGCUUACCGGGCAGAUGCCAUAUCCACUAGAGGCUACCCUAUU